UGCAAGUAAGCCUAUUUAACUGAUUAUCAUUCCAUUUUUACUCUACACUCUCCCCUUUUCAAGCCAUAAUUGGUGGUUUUUUCAUCACAUAAUUGGUCGUCUUUGGUUAAUUUUUUCCCUUUUUUUCAUCACAUAACUGAUUAUCAUUCCAUUUUGCGCUAUGAUGCUUAUAUCUCAACUGGAAUCUCUAAUUGAGUAUAAGUCUGUUUUGGUCAUAGUAAGGUUCCAGAAUAUGUUGUUGGUGCAUAAAUUAAUAAAUUGUUGGUUCAUUAACUGUAUGCAUGAAUUGAGUAUGGUGCAUGGUAAGGUUCCAGAAUACCUGGAAAUUGUUGGUGCACGAAUGAUUGAUUUCUUUGUUUGUAUUUUGAUUAAGAUGAAGAGGAUUUGGAUGAAUGAUUGAUUUCUUUGUUUGUAUUACCUUUUGAGUGAUGAAUUUGGAUGAUAUUACCUUUGAAUGAUGAAUUUAGAUGAUAUUAUCUUUUGAAUGACUAUGGAUUUGAAUGAUAAAUUGAGAAUGGAUGUUUAUUGUACAAAGUAUUAUUUUUUAUACAAUUAUAUGUAUAAUAUAUAAAACAUAUAUAUAUAUAUAUAUAAAAGAAUUUAAUCCCGUGAGGGUUCGCCUCAUGCCUCACGCCUAGGCCGGGCUAUCCCUCGGAUGCCUCAGCCACGCCUCACGCUUUUAAUACAUUGAUCAUACUAGAUAAAGUGCUUGCUUUCGUUCUUGGAAGACUUGAUUCAACAUUCAGGCACCAGCUGCAUCAUUCACUGGUGGGCUAGUUGGGGAUUCAUCCCUUUUGCUGUACUACCUCAGGUAAUUCUCAAUGGUCAACUGUAAGGAGGUGCAAUAUAAUAGGAUAACAUUUCAGUUUAUCAAAUCAAAUGGGCAAACAAAACUCCUCGGUUGGAUGGUGCUGCUUGUUGACUGUUCCGACAUCAUGUAAUUUUGAAUAGGUGGUAGGAUUAGGUUGUUCUGGUUCUUAUAGUCAGCUCUCCGUAAACCUUAUGCUCUAGAACUAGCAAAGCAAUUAAGUAACUAAAGACUUCCCAAUGCCCAAUUCAAUUGUUUAGCUUGAGCGUAUGACCAAGCGGAAGGAAGAAAGCUCUUCACCCCCUGUUAGUAUGUUGAGCGCUCUUGAUUGAUGAGAUGAUAUAUUCUAUUUAUUGUAUUCAGAACUAGGUUAUUUUACUUGAGAGAUAUAGUUUUUUAUUUCUG
rnacentral:lncRNA from 1 species